rnacentral:rRNA from 1 species
UGCGCAGGUGGUUUUGUAAGUCAGAUGUGAAAGCCCCGGGCUCAACCUGGGAACUGCGUUUGAAACUACAAGACUAGAGUGUGGCAGAGGGGGGUGGAAUUCCGCGUGUAGCAGUGAAAUGCGUAGAGAUGUGGAGGAACACCGAUGGCGAAGGCAGCCCCCUGGGUUAACACUGACGCUCACGCACGAAAGCAUGGGGAGCAAACAGGAUUAGAUACCCUGGUAGUCC